AUGCAUGUAUUAUUCUACGUAUAGAUUCGGCAAAAUUUGUGCAGUAUAGUAUAAUGUAUAAUCAAUGGCGCGGUGCAAAUUAGGACAAAUGUAAUUCAUUAUAACGGUGUGAUAAAUACAAUGCCGUUGCAAACACGUAAUGUAGGAAU